rnacentral:rRNA from 1 species
GAUGAACGUUAGCGGGAGGCUUAAUACAUGCAAGUCGAGCGGGAUUGGUAGCAAUACCAUGAGAGCGGCGCACGGGUGAGUAACGCGUACACGACCUACCUCUGACAGGGGGAUAGCCCUGGGAAACUGGGAUUAAUACCGCAUAUUAUUCUGAUUAAUAAAGGAUUGGAAUGAAAGUUCAGGCGGUCAGAGAUGGGUNUGCGUCUGAUUAGCUAGUUGGUAGGUAACGCCUACCAAGGCGAUGAUCAGUAGGGGCGUGAGAGCGUGGUCCCCCANACGGGUACUGAGACACGGACCCGACUCCUACGGGAGCAGCAGUAAGGAAUAUUGGACAAUGGCCGAAAGGCUGAUCCAGCCAUCCAGCGUGCAGGAAGAAGGCCCUAUGGGUUGUAAACUGCUUUUAUCAGGGAAUAAACCUCUGGAUUCACUCCGGA